ACUUUUAUUAUCUCUUUCUUCUUCUUCUUCUUCUUAUUAUUAUUUUUUAUGUUCCUUGUGCUAUUGAUAUUAUGUUUUUGUUUAAAGAGUAAAAGAUUAAACUACAAUAAAUGAUUGUAAUGAAUGUUAAAGAAAAAAGAAAAGCCCAAUUUACCUAAAAGAUGCUCCAAUCAAACAAAAUAAGACUAAAAGGGUAAUUACAAAAAAUUGCACAUGCCCUCCCAUACAAAGGUGUGAUCCAAUAAGGCUACACCUCACCCCAAGCUUUUCCCAUCCCUUUAAAAAUCGUAAUGUUCCUUUCAACCAAAGAAAAUCCCUUUCAAAAUCCGAAAAACGAUGAAAAAUAAGCUCUUUCACCAUGGAACUACAACCCGUAGAUUGGGCAAGACCAUAGGAGGGAUAGAUCUAGUUGAUAUCUUUUCUCAAAGUGGAAAAAGAUAUCUCUACUCAAAGUGGAAAAAAAUCCGCUAGUGUGUGGUAAAUGGAGGACUACAUGUUAUUGGAAAGCAAACAAUUGUUGGAAUUGGAAAGCAAAAAAUGGUUGAAUAAGUUGUCAUAUGCCAUAGGUAAGAAAGAAUUUGAAUCAAAGACAAUUGUGUAGGAAUCAAGGAAUAAAGGGAUCACAAAAAGAGGUUUGUGAAAACAAGGGAAACACUAGAAUAACAGAACUAAGAACCGAAGAAUAAAACCUAAGGACCUAAGUUUUCCGAACAAGAAUAAAAACAUGACAAGAAAUGAGUAUGGUACCCUAACAUCUACCAAAGACACGAUUAAUAGCCAUCAAGUAGGCUAUUUAUUGCGCCUUUGUACUUAUUCUAGUUCUUGCAUGUUUAUCACAUGUGACCAGAAGGAGUUGAUCAAGGAUGGAAGCGGUCCUAGAGCAGGUGCCAUAGAGAACCACAUCGAGUUUUCAACUCUUGAAUGUCUUAAGUUGUUUUGUUUAUUGGGCCCAAUGUAUUAAACUCAUAAAAUUUAUUUUGAAGAAAAUGUAUUUUAUGUUUUUGUUUUAAACGCGAAAAUUUUUACUGUCUUUUUGUCUUUCCAAAUUUUUACAUAGUCGCGACUUGUGAAAUUUUGGUCGUGAGAGAGUGGUAUCGAAGAAAAUCUUAGGAUUUUGGGAGCUAGGUUAACUUUAGGGUUGUUGCACCAAGGUGGAAGAACUAAGACUAUAGACAGUCAGAAACAGUCUUUACUUUACAAGGCCAAGUAUAGUUACGAGGGUUAAGGAACCUCGUGACACCAAGGUGAGAAGCACUUUAGACCAUAAGAGAACCCACCAAUAAGACUUGUACAAAAAGGAACAAGGUUGAUUAUGUCAAAGUUAGUUGGGCAUGAGGAAGAAAAUAUGCUCCAAGAGAGAAGGAAACACAAGGAUGACCAAGAAAAACAUGUAAUUUCAAUAAAACAUGUUAAGAAGAUUGUUGAGAAGAACGAAUGUCGUAAUAAGUAGAUGACCUCAUGACAUUAGUUGAGGACAAAAGGCCUUGGACAAACCCAUCCAAGGACUCUAAAGGAACUUAGAAGGACAUAACUAAGACCAAGUACUCCCCAAGUCAUGGUAAGAACUGUGAACUUUUGGGGAGAAUUUGUAAGAGCUCAAGUUGGAUUAAGAUACUUGGGUAAGUUUAAGGUGACCAAGAAAGGUUUAAGAGAUCCAACGAAAGAAAGAAAAAUAAGUUUGGAUAUGAGAAUUGUGGGUUAAAGUAUGAGAUUGGGCUCCCAACAUUUUGGUAAUGGACAAUCUUUUGAAUUUUUUUUUAGUUUAAUUGUUAGGUGUGAAAGGAGAUAUGAUGAAUGGUAUUAGUUGAGGACAGAAGGCCACAAGGGCAAAUUAUAAGGACAUGAUGGAGAAGGACAAACCUAUCCAAGAACCCUGAAGGAACUUAGAAGGACAUAACUAAGACCAAGUACUCCCCCGAGUCAUGGUAAGAAUGUGAACUUUUGGGGAGAAUUUGUAAGAGAUCAAGUUGGAUUAAGAUACUCGAAUAAGUCUAAGGUGCCCAAGAAAGGUUUAAUAGAUCCAAAGAAAGGAAGAAAAAUAAGUUUGGAUACGAGAAUUGUGGGUUAAAGUAUGAGAUUGGGCUCCCAACAUUUUGAUAAUGGACAAUCUAUCGAAUUUAUUUUAGUUUAAUUGUUAUGUAUGAAAGGACGGAUGAAUGGUAUUAGUUGAGGACAAAAGGACACAAGGGUAAGUUAUAAGGACAUGAUGGGGAAGGACAAACCCACCCAAAGUUCUUUUUUUGAUGGACCUCCUACUUGCAGGAGGUAAAAUUUUGAUUUCUGUUGAAUUAUUUCAGUCUAAUUUUGAUCUAACAACAACAACAAUUGAAUCACGCUCUGUAGGAUUUGAACCUACGACAUCGGGUUUUGGAGACCCGCGUUCUGCCGAACUGAACUAAGAAGGACAUAACUAAGACUAAGUAUUCCCCCGAGUCAUGGUAAGAACCGUGAGCUUUUGGGGAGAGUUUGUAAGAGGUCAAGUUGGAUUAAGAUACUCGAAUAAGUUGAAGGUGCCGAAGAAAGGUUUAAGAGAUCCAAAGAAAGGAAGAAAAAUAUGUUUGGUUUAAGAUUGAGCUCUCAACAUUUUGAUAAUGGACACUAUUUCGAACUUUUUUCAGUUUAAUUGUUAUGUAUGAAAGGACGAACGAAUGGUAUUAGUUGAGGACAAAAGGCCACAAAGGCAAAUUGUAAGGACAUGAUGGACAAGGAUAAACCCAUCCAACGACCGUCAAGUAACUUGUAAGGACAUAACUAGGGCCAAGUACUCCCCCAAGUCAUGGUAAAAACGGUGAACUUUUGGGGAGAAUGUAAGAGCACAAGUUGUUUUAUUAUACUCGAGUAAGUUUAAGGUGCCCAAGAAAGGUUUAAGAGAUCCAAAGAAUGGAAGAAAAAUAAGUUUGGUAUAAGAUUGAGCUCUCAACAUUUUGAUAAUGGACACUAUAUCGAACCUUUUUUAGUUUAAUUGUUAUGUAUGAGAGGACGGACGAAUGGUAUUAGAGGACAAAAGGCCACAAGGGCAAAUUGUAAGGACAUGAUGGAGAAGGAUAAACCCAUCCAAGGACCUUCAAGUAACAUAUAAGGACAUAACUAGGACCAAGUACUCCCCCAAGUUAUGGUAAAAACGGUGAACUCUUGGGGAGAAUUUGUAAGAGCUCAAGUUGGAUUAUUAUACUCAGGUAAGUUUAAGAAGCACAUGAAGGGUUUAAGAGUUCCAAAAAAAGGAAGAAAAAUAAGUUUGGAUAAGAGAAUUGUGGGUUAAAGUAUGAGAUUGGGCUCCCAGCGUUUUGAUAAUGGACAAUGUAUCGAAUUUUUUUUAGUUUCAUUGUUAUGUAUGAAAGGACGGAUGAAUGGUAUUAGUUGAGGACAUGAUGGAGAAGGACAAACCCAUCCAAGGACCCUCAAGGAACAUAGAAGGACAUAACUAAGACCAAGUACUCCCCCAAGUCAUGGUAAAAACGGUGAACUUUUGGGGAGAAUUUGUAAGAGCUCAAGUUGGAUUAAGAUACUCGAUAAGUUUAAGGUGCUCAAGAAAGGUUUAAGAGAUCCAAAGAAAGGAAGAAAAAUAAGUUUGGUACGAGAUUGAGCUACCAACAUUUUGAUAAUGGACAAUCUUUCGAAUUUUUUUUAGUUUAAUUGUUAUGUAUGAAUGGUAUUAGUUGAGGACAAAAGGCCACAAGGGAAAAUUUUAAGGACACGAUGGAGAAGGACAAACCCAUCCAAGGACCCUCAAGGAAGUUAAUAGGACAUAACUAAGACCAAUUACUCCCCCGAGUCAUGGUAAAAAUGGUGAACUUAUGGGGAGAAUUUGUAAGAGCUCAAGUUGGAUUAAGAUACUCGAGUAAGUUUAAGGUGCCGAAGAAAGGUUUAAGAGAUCCAAAGAAAGGAAAAAAAAUAAGUUUGAUAUGAGAUUGGGCUCCCAACGGACAAUGUUUCGAAUUUUUUUUAGUUUAAUUGUUAUUUAUGAAAGGACGUAUGAAUGCUAUUAGUUGAGAACAAAAGGCCACAAGGGCAAAUUGGACGUGAUAUUGAAGGACAAAUCCAUCCAAGGACCCUCAAGGAAGUUAAUAGGACAUAACUAAGACCAAGUACUCCCCCGAGUCAUUGUAAAAACGGUGAACUUAUGGGGAGAAUUUUUAAGAGCUCAAGUUGGAUUAAGAUACUCAAGUAAGUUUAAGGUGCCGAAGAAAGGUUUAAGAGAUCCAAAGAAAGGAAAAAAAAAACAAGUUUGGUAUGAGAUUGGGCUCCCAACAUUUUGUUAAUGGACAAUGUUUCGAAUUUUUUUUAGUUUAAUUGUUAUUUAUGAAAGGACGUAUGAAUGCUAUUAGUUGAGAACAAAAGGCCACAAGGGCAAAUUGGACAUGAUAUUGAAGGACAAAUCUAUCCAAGGACCCUCAAGAAACUUAGAAGGACAUAACUAAGACUAAGUACUCUCCUGGAUCAUGGUACGAACGGUGAACUUUUGGGGAGAGUUUGUAAGAGCUCAAGUUCGAUUAAGAUACUCGAAUAAGUUUAAGGUGCCGAAAAAAGGUUUAAUAGAUCCAAAGAAAGGAAGAAAAAUAUGUUUGAUAGAAGAUUGGGCUCUCAACAUUUUGAUAAUGGACACUAUUUCGAAUUUUUUUUUGUUUAAUUGUUAUGCAUGAAGGGACGGACGAAUGGUAUUAGUUGAGGACAAAAGGCCACAAGGGCAAAAUUUUAGGACAUGAGGGAGAAGGAUAAACCCAUCCAAGGACCCUCAAGUAACCUAGAAGGACAUAACUAAGACCAAGUACUCCCCCAAGUCAUGGUAAAAACGGUUAACUUUUGGGGAGAAUUUAUAAGAGCUCAAGUUCGAUUAAGAUACUUGGAUAAGUUUAAGGUGCCCAAGAAAGGUUUAAGAGAUCCAAAGAAAGGAAGAAAAAUAAGUUUGAUACGAGAUUGGGAUCCCUAACAGUUUGAUAAAGGAACUAUUUGGAACUUUUUUUAGUUUAAUUGUUUUAUAUGAAAAAACGGACGAAUGAAUGGUAUUAGUUGAGGUCAAAAGGCUACAAGGGAAAAUUGUAAGGACAUGAUAGCAAAUUAUAAGGGCUGGACGAAGAAGGCCAAACCCAUCCAAGGACCCUCUAGAAAUUUAGGAGGACAUAACUAAGACUAAGUACUCCCGAAAGGCAUGGUAAGAACAAUGAACUUUUGGGAAGAUUUUGUUAGAUCCCAAGUUAGAUUAAGAUACUUGGGUAUGUUUAAGAUGCCCAAGAAAGGUUUAAGGGAUCCAAAGUGUCACAGCCCAAUAUUUUACUACGGACAGUGACUAACGACACGACACAGAUGCACAAGAGAUUUAAAUAUGAAGUAGCGAAAAUCAUCAAAUUUCAAUAAAGUUUUUCGAACGAUAAACACAGAACACAAGACCAUUUGGAAAAUAAAUUUAAAAAGAAUGCGAAUACAAAAAUGAUGACUAAGACUGGACUGACGCCCCGGGACAACCCAUUCCUCUGUGACAAUUCCCUUCAGAUCACGCCCACUCUUGACCGACGCCUCGCGCCCCUGAAAAAAAA